rnacentral:lncRNA from 1 species
CCCCGCCCAUCCAUGCGCCGUGUGUAUACCUAUGUAUAUUGUAUCUGUUUGGAAAAGAGGUGAAAGACACGUGACGCGACACGCGAGACACACAGGACUCCGGGGGUGGGCAGGGGCCACGGGGGAGGGGGUUUAAGGCGCGGGGUGUAUCGCGGAAAGGAAGAACGGAGUAGGGAUAGAGGGCGAUUGACUCAAACCGAGCAGCGGCACAUGCCAUAUCUGGCAAGACUUGACUUACGUGGGCUAAGCGCAACUCACCUUGCCUCACCUUCCGCGCGCCGUACUUUGCGUGUACCUUCGUCAGAUCUGCCUCUGCCUCUGCCUUGCAACGACACGGCAACGGUUCCGCCGUGUAGCGCACCUUUUAAGUGCCAUUACGUUAAUAUCGUAAAACACAUGGGGCAGAGGGCAGAGCCCGGCUACUUGAGCCAGUUGACUCCCGGCUCCCGGGGUCACGUGCCCUCGACGAACAUCUCCUCGGCAUAGCGCUUCGCGGAGAAUCGUUCGUAGCAGACGAGAUGCACCGGAGAAACGGCAAACGGCAAGAGCAGAAGCAAGACUAACUACAACAAGAGCAACGGGCUGGGCUGGCCAGUCUCCAUCCUCGGAACGAGACCUGCGCUGGACCCGCUCGCGGCACGCGAAGAAUGACCUCAUCGCGGAUGUCGCUCUGAUUUGCUCAAUUCGUUCCAUCUUAUACCCCUCCCCCCGCCCUCGAGUCGAGCUCGCGCGUAACCACCGUCAUCACACCUAUAAUGCACGCGCACAGCCGUCCGGCACGUACCUACUUUACGCGGCGUACAUAUAAAGUCGCGGACUCGCGGGUGAGGUGCCUACGCGAUUGCCGCCGUCCUCUUGCCUCGUUAUUUCAUUACGACGGCGUGUGGCGUGUGGCGUGUGCCGAGUACCCUCCGCCGGCUAUCCCUUGCCCGUUCUCAACGGCGGCGACCGGGCUCUGGCCAUAAUCAUCCAUCUCGCCUCUCCUCUCCUCUCCGCUCCUCUUCUUCCCUCCCCUCGCCACCCGCUUUACACGCAUCAAAAGCACAACGCGCAUUAACGUACAUAAUAUCGCAACAAAAGGCAUCCGAGAAACUUCAAGUGCAGGAAUAAGGAUUCUAAAAGACCCCCUUCGACGCAUGCACAAUCUUUUUUGCCUCCAGCCCUAGCCUACACCUUUAUUUCUGCACAAGUCGUGCACUUAUUACUAUACCGCGCAAAUGGUGCAUGCAUAGUACAGCGGGUAGGUCUGCACUACGGCCGUGGUACCAGGUAGCGGAUGUUUAGUGUGGUAUACGGCACGCGAGCGAGCGGGGAGCAGGGCGAUGGGCACGCGCCACGCUGUCCCACGGGUUUCUUCAGCUGGCCGUCGUCAAUCCUCGCGAUAAGCGUAUAACGAUAUUAUUAAAGCCAGUCCUCAAUUUAACACCACUCGGCAUGGUGUUCAGAGCACCACGAUGUUUGCCGUACCUACGCGUACGCGAUUGGCGAAUCGACAUACUCCGCCAUUAAAUUUGACUACCGAUUGGCUCCUCCUACUUUGAUUUUCAACCGGUCCCACUUGCUCGAUUCAAAGCCCUCGCAUAGCAAUACCUCCUAGCCUCUUCCCCCCCUCCCCCCCCUUUCUUUGUGUCAUAUCACAUCGGUUUUAGUCCACUGUACAUGUAUACGUGAUAAAUUCGUUCGCGUAGAAUGCGCCAGCUUACCUACCCUGUAUGUACAUGUAUGUUCAUUAGAACCCAAUGAACACGGCGUUCGUACAGCAAGGAAAAGUGUUGAUAUUUAUUAGUAAACGGCCAUUACAUUGCACGAAAACAAUCUUUCACUCCACUUUUGAUCGAGGGGUGAAUCACUGGCAAAAUUUUUAGUUAUGCCGAAUUUUUUUAUUCUUCCAAGAAUCGCCAAACACCCUUUUGCGACGUCGCUUUGUAAUAUCUUCCUGCAUCACCCAGCGAAACUUUGUCAAAUUAUUUCACUGUGUUCUAAACCACCGUAAAACGUCCCAACAUCACCGCGAGCAUCUUAUAUUUGAUCCUGCCGCUGUCCACACCACAUCUCUUUUGUGAUACCCCCCUUGCAUCGGACCCGAUUCCGGAUUUUUUUCUCAACCUUGAAGUCCACAGAAAAAGCAAAAAUGCGGGUCCACGUCUAAAAGUUGUAAAACUCUCCAUUUUUACGUGGAAACCAAUUAUUUACUUAGAGAUACCUUCGAAUACAAAUGAGUCAAACGUUUUAUCAGAUUACAUAGAUUUUGUUCUAUUAUUGAUCUCAUUUGUCCUGAGGGUUGGACAUCUCGAUUCAAUUGAGCCGCUUAUUGAUUUAGCAAAGCCGUCACGGAUUAUACGCUAAGACUUUAAACUUCACGAGAAUCCAGAGAUAUGGCAGCAUUACAAAAGCUAAACUAUCAGAACAUCUGUAUACGUAUGUGAACAAACAUCAGUACGGAAAUACUAUACAGAUAAUUCAAGAUCUCUCGUCAAGUGAUGAAAAAGUUGCAGUAUAAACGGAUUUACAAUUUUCCAUGUAAAUUUCGCAUCCAUUUGUCCGUUGGUAAUUGGUGGGCAUUAUCUUUCAGCAUAUUCCAUGCAUUUGAUCGGAUGAAAUUUUAAAAUAAAGUCAACCACGCA